rnacentral:misc_RNA from 1 species
GAUGAAGAACGUAGCGAAAUGCGAUAAGUAAUGUGAAUUGCAGAAUUCAGUGAAUCAUCGAAUCUUUGAACGCACAUUGCGCCCCCUGGUAUUCCGGGGGGCAUGCCUGUCCGAGCGUCAUUACAACCCUCAAGCUCAGCUUGGUGUUGGGCCCCGCCGCCCCGGCGGGCCCUAAAGUCAGUGGCGGUGCCGUCCGGCUCCGAGCGUAGUAAUUCUUCUCGCUCUGGAGGUCCGGUCGUGUGCUUGCCAGCAACCCCCAAUUUUUUUCAGGUUGACCUCGGAUCAGGUAGGGAUACCCGCUGAACUUAAGCCUAUCAAUAAGCGGAGGA